CCUCGGCCGCGUCGACCCGCAAGGCUGAAACUCAAAGGAAUUGACGGGGCCCGCACAAGCAGUGGAGUAUGUGGAUUAAUUCGAAGCAACGCGAAGAACCUUACCAGGUCUUGACAUCCAGCUAACGAAGUAGAGAUACAUUAGGUGCCCUUCGGGGAAAGCUGAGACAGGUGGUGCAUGGUUGUCGUCAGCUCGUGUCGUGAGAUGUUGGGUUAAGUCCCGCAACGAGCGCAACCCUUACUGUUAGUUGCUACGCAAGAGCACUCUAGCAGGACCGCCGUUGACAAAACGGAGGAAGGUGGGGAUGAUGUCAAAUCAUCAUGCCCCUUAUGACCUGGGCCUCACACGUACUACAAUGGCCGUUAACAGAGGGAAGCAAUACCGCGAGGUGGAGCAAAACCCUAAAAACGGUCCCAGUUCGGAUUGUAGGCUGCAACCCGCCUGCAUGAAGUUGGAAUUGCUAGUAAUCGCGGAUCAGCAUGCCGCGGUGAAUACGUUCCCGGGCCUUGUACACACCGCCC
rnacentral:rRNA from 1 species